UGGGGAAUAUUGGACAAUGGGCGAAAGCCUGAUCCAGCCAUGCCGCGUGUGUGAAGAAGGUCUUCGGAUUGUAAAGCACUUUAAGUUGGGAGGAAGGGCAUUAACCUAAUACGUUAGUGUUUUGACGUUACCGACAGAAUAAGCACCGGCUAACUCUGUGCCAGCAGCCGCGGUAAUACAGAGGGUGCAAGCGUUAAUCGGAAUUACUGGGCGUAAAGCGCGCGUAGGUGGUUUGUUAAGUUGGAUGUGAAAUCCCCGGGCUCAACCUGGGAACUGCAUUCAAAACUGACUGACUAGAGUAUGGUAGAGGGUGGUAGAAUUUCCUGUGUAGCGG
rnacentral:rRNA from 1 species